rnacentral:siRNA from 1 species
AACCAGUGGCGGACCCACGUUGGA